AGUCCCCGCCACACACUCGGUUACUGGCCUGUUCGCACAUCCAGUCCAGCAGGUGAUAGGUAAUUUUCACCUCACCCUGUCUGGAGAGAAGAUGACGUCAUGAUCUAAGAAAGUGCUCCUGUCAGUGUGCCUUGCUUUGCAGCAGUAAAACUCCUACACAGAUCACUAAGCAGCAUGAAAAGAAUCUAGGGCCUAUCUCCGCCUUUGCUCAGGAGACCCAUCAACUCUCACCAUCAUGUCCCACAGAGUCUUUGUUAAUGGGAAUUCUGUUCCAGUCAUAGGACCCUUCCAGGCUGCUAGCACUCCUAUCUCCAGGGAGACAAAUUUUACUUCAAGAAAAAAUGGCACUCCUUCACUUCCAAAGUGUCUGCUGGCAUCAAAAGGACUGGGAAGGUAUAGCUCACAGCUCGGGCUGACAAGGUGGCUCACGGAGUCAACCCUGUGGAGUGUUGUGGAGUGUGACCGGCCUGCAGGCGUUAGGGUGAUAUCUUUCCUGGGAAAUGACCUGAGGAAUCUCAGUAAUGAGAUUCCAAGCAGGAGUCCUGAGAGGCCUGCUAGUACCAAUCCACUUCUAGAAUCAACUCGAGCAGACUCCGCCAAGCGUGCAGUGGAGUGCUUUGGAGGCAUGAUCUGACAUUCGUUAAACAAGGAAGAGCAAGCCUACAACUUUGACUCUUCUUCACCACCUUUCAGACAGGACAGCAUGCUCAUCUCCUCUGUGGAUUCUGUCACCCAAGGGAUUUCUGACCCUGCAGAGGUCAACCAGCAACACUGCAGGAAAAUAAAAGUCUGGCAAGCCAGAAUUCUGUUAUAAAAGGAACUUUAUGGCCUAAACUGACCACAGUGAAAUAGCAGCCUUUUUCUCUAGUCUUCUGUAUCCUUCUCCUUAAUUGAAUGGGAUAUCUGAUAUGCAACCCCUGUAGAGGCUAAGACCCACAGGUGGAGAACUGCUGUUCUAAAAGUUCUGGCCUUUCAGAGAUAGAUGCCUUAUUGAGGAAGCUAUCACUUUGUAUACCACCUCCCAUACAGGAAAAGAUUUUGAAUCAAGAAGAAAAACUAGGGGAAGGGUAUAGGGAACUUUUGGGAUAGCAUUUGAAAUGUAAAUGAAGAAAAUAUCUAAU
rnacentral:lncRNA from 1 species